GACGAACGCUGGCGGCGUGCUUAACACAUGCAAGUCGAACGGAAAGGCCCUGCUUUUGUGGUGUGCUCGAGUGGCGAACGGGUGUGUAACACGUGAGUAACCUGCCCUUGACUUUGGGAUAACUUCAGGAAACUGGGGCUAAUACCUGAUAGGAGCUCCUGCUGCAUGGUGGGGGUUGGUAAGUUUCGGCGGUUGGGGAUGGACUCGCGGCUUAUCAGCUUGUUGGUGGGGUAGUGGCUUACCAAGGCUUUGACGGGUAGCCGGCCUGAGAGGGUGACCGGCCACAAUGGGACUGAGAGACGGCACAGAAGCCAACGGGAGGCAGAAGUGGGGAAUAUUGCACAAUGGGCGGAAGCAUGAUGCAGCAACGCCGCGGGCGGGAUGACGGCCUUCGGGUUGGAAACCGCUUUCGCAUGUGACGAAGCGUGAGUGACGGUAAUGGGUAAAGAAGCACCGGCUAACUACGUG
rnacentral:rRNA from 1 species